AUACGGAGGAGGUUAGCGUUGUUCGGAAUUACUGGGCGUAAAGCGCACGUAGGCGGAUUGGAAAGUUGGGGGUGAAAUCCCAGGGCUCAACCCUGGAACUGCCUCCAAAACUAACAGUCUAGAGUUCGAGAGAGGUGAGUGGAAUUCCAAGUGUAGAGGUGAAAUUCGUAGAUAUUUGGAGGAACACCAGUGGCGAAGGAGGCUCACUGGCUCGAUACUGACGCUGAGGUGCGAAAGCGUGGGGAGCAAACAGGAUUAGAAACCCGAGUAGUCC
rnacentral:rRNA from 1 species